rnacentral:tRNA from 1 species
GCUGGGAUGGCUCAGUUGGUAGAGCAUGAGACUUUUAAUCUUAGGGUCAUGGGUUCAAACCCGAUGUUGGACA